UCGCACCUUGCGGUGGCAGUCCCGCCAGAGUCCCCAACACUACUUGAUGGCAACUGACGGCAAGGGUUGCGCUCGUUAUGGCACUUAAGCCGACACCUCACGGCACGAGCUGACGACAACCAUGCAGCACCUCGACAACUGUCCGAAGACUAUGCCAUCUCUGGCAUAUUCAGCUGCCGUUCGAGCCCGGGUAAGGUUCCUCGCGUAUCAUCGAAUUAAACCACAUGUUCCUCCGCUUGUGCGGGCCCCCGUCAAUUCCUUUGAGUUUCAGCCUUGCGGCCGUACUCCCCAGGUGGAUGACUUAUCGCUUUCGCUUGACCACCGACACUGUAUCGCCGACGGCUAGUCAUCAUCGUUUACAGCGUGGACUAC
rnacentral:misc_RNA from 1 species